rnacentral:rRNA from 1 species
AAGUCGUAACAAGGUUUCCGUAGGUGAACCUGCGGAAGGAUCAUUAGAGAAAUAAAUCCAAAAAACUGUGCACUAAACUUUUUAAAUUCAACAGUCACAAUAUAAAUGAUACAACUUUUAGCAACGGAUCUCUAGGUUCUCGCAACGAUGAAGAACGCAGCGAAUUGCGAAAAGUAAUGUGAAUUGCAUAAUUCCGUGAAUCAUCAAAUCUUUGAACGCACCUUGCGCUAGCUGGAAUUCCGGCUAGCAUGCCUGUUUGAGUAUCAGAACUAAAUCACCCCAGGGUGGAUGUGGACGGCGUUAUCAACCCGUCUUAAAGACAUGAGUACUGCAAAGUGCCAAUAGAGACAGUCCCUCGGGAAUAUCUAGCAACACUUUGUAAUAUCCUCUCUUCGAAACUAUGAUCUCAAAUCAAGCAAGAUUACCCGCUGAACUUAA